UACGAAGGGGGCUAGCGUUGUUCGGAUUUACUGGGCGUAAAGCGCGUGUAGGCGGGUAGUUAAGUUGGGGGUGAAAUCCCGAGGCUCAACCUCGGAACUGCCUUCAAAACUGGCGACCUGGACUCAAGCAGAGGCAAGUGGAAUUGCGGGUGUAGAGGUGAAAUUCGUAGAUAUUCGCAGGAACACCAGUGGCGAAGGCGACUUGCUGGGCUUGUAGUGACGAUGAGACGCGAAAGCGUGGGGAGCAAACAGG
rnacentral:rRNA from 1 species